CAACGGCGAUUCUCAAAGAGCAAAUAUAAAAUGAGGGUAGCGAACGGCGGUAAGUGAAAAAUUAGGGUAGCGAGAAAGCGGCAAUGACGAUUGAGAGAAGAAAGCGUUUGAAGCUGCAAGAACAAAGGAACUAACGUGUGGAUAGUAAUAGCGAAUCUGAAUCAAAAGGGGUUUAAUCAUUCCCAUGAUGUUCUCUUUUCAUAAUAGUUUUCAAUCUGAAUCACGUUCCUCUUCUUGUUGCUCGCGUUUUCUUCUCACUCUCACACACAACCCUUUCAUUUCGCGAUGACCCUUUGAGCCUCGUGAUGAUAACCUGAAGGUUCUAUUUUUCGUAAUUUUGUGUUAUUUGAAUCAGAAAAUUAUUUGAUUAUUAUCUGUUUAUGUUCUAAAACAAAGGGGUUCUUUUUGUUGUUUGAAAUUUGUACAUAUUUUCAUUAUUUUGAUUAGUGUAUACUACCUUGGUCUCAAAUAUAUGCAGAGAAGAAAAAGUUUAACAAAGUUGAUGUAUAUAGUUAAAAAAUUGAUCAGAUGCAUAGCACAUGCACUCCUCAGAUUAGGUGUGUCCAGGUGUCCGACAUGUGUUGUGUUUGACACGACACCAACACUACACUUGUAAUUACAUUAAAUUAUGUAAUUUUCUCAAAUUAUUAAUGGUGUCAUUGGCUGUGUCCGGUGUCCGUGUCCGUAUCCGUGCUUCAUAUGAUACAUCAAACUUGUUUGAUUUUCAAUUGUGAGGUAGCCUAAGUGGGAAUCUUCUUCCCAAUUGUUACUUCAUUGUGACUUGUGAGGUAGCCUCAGAUGUGUAGUCUAAAGUUUUGAGGUUGAUUGUAUCAAUUUUAUUACACCUAAUUUAUUUGCGCAUUUUACGUGUUUGAGUGGUGAAUAGAGAAGUAAGAAAAUCCGAAAAGGUUUUUGGUUUAUUUGGCAUUCCCCAAUUUUUGAAGAGAUUAAGCUUGUGUCUUGGAGUUGGAGUUUAAGUAGGCUGAAGAUUCCUACAUGUAUUUUUUUUCCCGAAUGAAGUUGGGAUCCUGCAGAUUGUUUGAAUAUGGGGUGAUGUGCUUCUGCUGGUAGUUGAGCGAAUGCUGCUCUGCUGUUGUGGUUGAAUUUCUACUUUCUUUGUUUAUGAUUGAAUGGGACACAAAAGUGGAAUUUCUACAUUCAUUGGUAAGGGAAAGGGAGAGCAAGACUGUUUUUCAGUUUCUUUUACAAGUUGAUAUUAUACGGCGUUAUAUUUUCACCUGAUAAACUUUCAGCUCGGGCUGCUUUGGCAAUCAGAGGUAUUAUUUCAAGUCCUCACAGUUUACCUUGUGCUUUUUGUGUUGUUGUGGUGGAAGAUUCGAAGCAUUUAUUUUUCAAUUGUACUCCGGUUAAAAAUGUUUGGAGGAAUGUUUUCGAUUCAUUGGGAUUGGAAAACACUAAUCAUGAUGAUGUGUGGAAGCAUUUUCUUUUUGGAAAUUUAGCUAAAUCCCAUAAGGGUAUGAAAAUUAACAUUUAAUUUGGCUUGCUACAUCAGUGUAUUUGGCAAUUGAGGAACAACAUCGUGUUUAGGGGCGUUUUCGUUGAUUUUUUGUGUAUCUAAUUGGUUGUGGUUCAUUGGAA